rnacentral:tRNA from 1 species
GAUAUUGUAGCUCAAUGUUAGAGCGAAGACCUGUUAAGUCUGAGGUUGAAGAGCCUGUGCUGAACUCGAUUCAGUAUUCGAGUCCUUCCGAUAUCG